GAAGGAAGGAAGGGAGGGGAGAAAAGAAGGAAGGAAACCAGAAUUGAGGACAGCUGGGAAAGGAGGGAGAAACAUAACAACUGUCAGGAAAAGAAAUGUGGUCUCGCCUGCUGGUGAGAUGAGUGAGGUUUCAGCCCUGUGAGCCGGUUCAGCAUGGAGCAGCUGCAAGGGCUGUGGGUUCUCUGAAGGGGAGCCAAGAAAUGGGGAGGAGGGAAUGAAGGAGAUGGAGGAUGGUAACCCACCAACAUUCUACCAAACGGAUUCAUUGUGGAGAUCAGAGACAGAAGCAGCUGGACAUCGAGAGGAGCAUAUCGGAGGAGGAACACACAGGUGGCUGGAUGUCGGGAGGAACGCACCGGCAUGCCAGCAGGCCCCUGGCCAGCAGGCCCCUGACCAGCAGAAUGACGCAGAGUUUGGCUGGGGCAGUCAGAGGAGAGCCCAGGCUGCCAAGCCGCCUGACUCCAGGGGAAAACCAUCACCCUUCUAGCUCCCCUAUCUGCUGAAAGCUAAUUCCACUCAAUAAAACCUGGCACUCAUUCUCCAA
rnacentral:lncRNA from 1 species